UGUGAUCCUCAGGAGAUUCAGCAUGCCUUUAACACAUGAAACAUUUAUUGUAAUAGCUUUUGAAAGCCUAUAUUUGCUGAUGUAGACAUUUCAUUAAGAGCCUGUCACAUUUUUAAAAUAAUAAUAUCCAUGAGCAACAGUCACCUGUCAAGAUCUACAAAAGGAAGACCCUGUACACCUCAUUUGUUUCAGGGAAAGAGAGACAUUGGGUGACAGCUAGAGCCUGGAAAGACAAGCAGAUAUGUGUCUGCUCAGAAGGAAGUCCAGGUGAGAUCAACAGGACUUCCUUUCAGAGAGGAACCAUCCAUGCCUCGUGGCAGAUCACGGGGGAACUGAUGGGAAUUUCAAAAGCAACUUGCUAAGCAUUUCACAGAAUCUUCUGUUGACCUCUCGGUUCAGAAUCGUUCCUACCACAGUAGCAGCUGUCCCUGCCGAAGAAAUCGUGGAUUCAGUUAAAUUCCCCCCAAGCAUCUCGAGGCCUUUAGGCAUGUGCUAUAAAUUUAAAAGUUCUAAUUAUAGCCGGGAGCAGCAGGAAUUACAGUCAUGAAAAGCAGGAACAAAUGGAAGAAUAGCUCAGCAACUGAAAGAGAUCGAUUUUGCCUUCCCCUCCCCUCUGGGCCAUCCUCUCUUGAGGAUCUCUGAGGGUACAUCUGCCACCCUGACAAAGCACACCCUCCCGCAGUCACCCAGCAGCUCAACUUAUAAACCUACCAAACCUGAGAAGGGACAGGUCUUUGAUACAGAGCCUCUAUUUGCCACAGUUAUCUGUCUUGUGAAAAAAGUAAACACAAGAGGACAUCAAGACACGCUGCAUAUUUCUGGUUAGAAUUAUUCACAGUCAAAACUUUAAGAAAGAAUAGGAAAGUUUUGUAAUUUAUUAAGGAGACCACUGUAAGCAGAUGAAAACAUUAGCAGGAUUCUAGUAACACUUGUUGUGCAACAAAUACCAUGGAAAAUAUGGAGAGAUAUAAAUAUGGAUGAUGAAAUAAUAUGCAGCUGAAAACGUUGACAAUAUGACCCAUGGAGGGGAU